CAAUCACUUAGCAUUUCUGCUACAGCGGUGAAUGGAGUUAAAGCCAGCUAAUGAUGGGUCACAAGCUGUGUUCCCUAGGGACUGGUAUCAGCACAUCUCCUGUUUAAAAUCUUUGAUGACCUUGACGAGGGGCUUGAGUACGCCCUCAAUAAGCUUGUAGGUGAUAUCAAACUGAGAGGAAGCAUUGAUCUGCCUAAGGGUAGCUCCUCUCCUUCAGAGGGAUCUCGAUAUGCUGGAUUUCUGGGCUGAGGCCAACAGGAUAAAGUUCAACACGACCAAAUGCUGUGUCCUGCACUUUGGCCACAACAACCCUAAGCAGCACUACAGCCUUAGAGCAGAGAAGCUGGAGAACUAUGUGGAAGAAAUGGACCUGGGAGUGCUGGUUGAUGCUUACUAAAACAUGAGUCACCUGUUAAUGAAGAAGGCCAAUAGUAUUCUGGCUUGUGUCAGAAAGAGAGCUCCCAGCAGGAGCAAGGAAGAGACUGUCCGUCUGUACCUCAGUUUUGAUUUGUGUUCUUCAGAAAUACAGCCUUUGAGUACAAACUACGUUAAGCUCCCUAUGAUUUGGCUGAUUUUCCUAAGCUGCUGAGCUGCCACAGCUUAUCCAGAAUUGCAAUGGCAAUGUAAUAAGAAGAAAUGAAUAGCAAUGGGUGAAACAA